AUGCUGGUUAUUGGUGUGGUUCAUAGGUGUUGCUGUUGGGUAGGAGUAUUAAUUGCCUCCCUCCCUUUCUUAGCUUGGAUAGUAUUUUCUGGAACCAUGGGCGCUCUAUGGCAAAGAAAAGGCUUUCAGAAGAAAACAAAUGCAUGGAACCUAUCACCAUUACUUGGUUCUAGUGUCAUUCAUUUCAAGAUGGUAACUAUGUAUUCUUUCUGGAUAUUCUGUGUUGCAAUUCAAGAGGUGAGUGCUCCGAUCCUGUUCUAUUGCCUUAAAAAAUAUCUUGUUUUCAUUUGUAUUUUCCUGAUGGCCAAGGAUGGUUGAGCAUCUUCUCAACAUUUAUUGAUAUAUUGUUUUAUCAGGGUUCCUCUUUGAAUUCUUCUAUGUAUCAUUUAGCCUGCUUUGAACAAGUGGAUUCCAUAUUUGUAUCCAUUUAUCUAUUGAAUAACAUCAUUUUAAGCUCUAGAUAGUAAUUUAAUAUUUUAGGUGGCUUUUCAAUUUAUUUCAAUGAAUUUCUUUUUAACUAUAGACAAAGCUGUAUAUAAUUUGCUUCAUAAUUUUUUCUUUUGGAUAGUUAUUUAAAAUCCUACUCAUGUUAAUGUCAUAAAUAUAUUUUCUUCAUUGUUUUCUAAAAGUUUUUCAAUUUUUACUUUUUAAAGGUUUAUUUUGUAUGUAAUUGAGUUUUGAACAUAAUAUGUGGUUAGAUUUAUUUUUCCUACUCUGUAUUUGUAACUGUACCAUUUAUUAAAUAAUUUACCAUAAUCAGUAAUAACAUCUCUGCUAUAAAUGACUGCCUUUCAAUGUGGUUCUCUUUUAAGAAGUACUCUGGGACCCUUGUGGAUGACUGGUUUAAUUCCCAGCAUGGAUACGUUAACUCAGAAUUGUCUGUAACUCCAUUUUCAGAGGCUCCAAUGCUGGCCUCUACCAUCCACAGACAUCAGAUAUGCAAGUAGAAUAGAUGCAUUUAUGCAGGCAAACAUGCUCACACAAACUAAAAAUAAAUACAUAAAUCUUAAAAAAAAACA
rnacentral:lncRNA from 1 species